UACGUAGGCAGCAAGCGUUGUUCGGAGUUACUGGGCGUAAAGGGCGCGUAGGCGGCCUGCUAAGUCGAACGUGAAAUCCCCCGAGCUCAACUCGGGAACUGCGUCCGAUACUGACAGGCUUGAAUCCGGGAGAGGGAUGCGGAAUUCCAGGUGUAGCGGUGAAAUGCGUAGAUAUCUGGAGGAACACCGGUGGCGAAGGCGGCAUCCUGGACCGGCAUUGACGCUG
rnacentral:rRNA from 1 species